GAUGAACGCUGGCGGCGUGCCUAAUACAUGCAAGUCGAGCGAACGGACGAGAAGCUUGCUUCUCUGAUGUUAGCGGCGGACGGGUGAGUAACACGUGGAUAACCUACCUAUAAGACUGGGAUAACUUCGGGAAACCGGAGCUAAUACCGGAUGAUAUUUUGAACCGCAUGGUUCAAAAGUGAAAGACGGUCUUGCUGUCACUUAUAGAUGGAUCCGCGCUGCAUUAGCUAGUUGGUAAGGUAACGGCUUACCAAGGCAACGAUGCAUAGCCGACCUGAGAGGGUGAUCGGCCACACUGGAACUGAGACACGGUCCAGACUCCUACGGGAGGCAGCAGUAGGGAAUCUCCCGCAAUGGGCGAAAGCCUGACGGAGCAACGCCGCGUGAGUGAUGAAGGUCUUCGGAUCGUAAAACUCUGUUAUUAGGGAAGAACAUAUGUGUAGGUAACUGUGCACAUCUUGACGGUACCUAAUCAGAAAGCCACGGCUAACUACGUG
rnacentral:rRNA from 1 species